UUCCAAGUGAUGCUAGUGUAGCCAGGUCACGGACUCCACUUUGAGAAUCACUACCUUAACUCAAAUGUGACUGGAAAGAUGAAUGAUAGAUAUAAAACUGUGACUUUAGUAUUAAAAACUAUUAAAUUAUUAUAUGAAAACUUUACUUAAUGCAUUGACACAUCUCAACAAAUCAUUUUAGGGUCUACUCAGGACCUUCACACUUGAAAAUCCAGCCACAUAGUUGCCAUUACUCCCUGCCAGCCUUCCUCCUACUGGUCUCAGUCAUUCUUUGCCCUUGGUUUUCAAAUGAUGUGACUAAUGGUGCUCUUAUUAGUCUAAAACAAUGACUGCAGUCCUUUAGCAGGUGUGCUCAUCAUGCUUUUAGAUACACUCAAAAAGAGAAAUCUUUUUUCCCCUGGGUUGGGAAUGUAUUGUCACCUUUCAAACUAAAUCAUCAUUGUAUUAUUCCUCUUUCGUACAUUGAAGUCUGACUUGAUUUCCAGAACACAUUCGAGGGAGACAACAUCUCCAAUAAAUACCCCAAGUCAGCAAGUUCAGGUUUCUGUGGGGUCUAAGUUCCCAGGACUGACAUGUUUUGAGGAUUGGCUUGUAUGUUAGCUAUCAAACAGGUCAAUCACCUGUAUUCCAAGGAUAAGAAUUAUUUAUCCCAUUAUAAUAGAAAGAAGUAGGAGAGUUUGGCUAAAUAAAUGCACACUGGAUAUAUAUGAAUAUAUACACACAACUAUACACAUG
rnacentral:lncRNA from 1 species